GACGAACGCUGGCGGCGUGCUUAACACAUGCAAGUCGAACGGAAAGGCCUCUUUCGGGGGGUACUCGAGUGGCGAACGGGUGAGUAACACGUGAGUAACCUGCCCUUGACUUUGGGAUAACUUCAGGAAACUGGGGCUAAUACCGGAUAGGAGCUCCUGCUGCAAGGUGGGGGUUGGAAAGUUUCGGCGGUUGGGGAUGGACUCGCGGCUUAUCAGCUUGUUGGUGGGGUAGUGGCUUACCAAGGCUUUGACGGGUAGCCGGCCUGAGAGGGUGACCGGCCACAUUGGGACUGAGAUACGGCCCAGACUCCUACGGGAGGCAGCAGUGGGGAAUAUUGCACAAUGGGUGGAAGCCUGAUGCAGCAACGCCGUGUGCGGGAUGACGGCCUUCGGGUUGUAAACCGCUUUCGCUCAUGACGAAGCUUUGUGUGACGGUAGUGGGUAAAGAAGCACCGGCUAACUACGUG
rnacentral:rRNA from 1 species